rnacentral:rRNA from 1 species
UACGGAGGGUGCGAGCGUUGUCCGGAAUCACUGGGCGUAAAGGGCGCGUAGGUGGCUUCUCAAGCGCGCAGUGAAAGCCCGGGGCCUCAACCCCCGGGUCGGCCGUGCGGACUGGGGAGCUCGAGCACUGUAGGGGCGGGUGGAAUUCCGGGUGUAGCGGUGGAAUGCGUAGAGAUCCGGAAGAACACCGGUGGCGAAGGCGGCCCGCUGGGCAGGAAGACGGGGCAACCCGUCGGCUGACACUGAGGCGCGACAGCGUGGGGAGCAAACAGG